rnacentral:rRNA from 1 species
GAUGAACGCUAGCGGCAGGCCUAACACAUGCAAGUCGAGGGGCAUCAGGAACAAUAGCAAUAUUGUUUGCUGGCGACCGGCGCACGGGUGCGUAACACGUAUGCAACCUACCUCAUACAGGGGCAUAGCCCAGAGAAAUCUGGAUUAAUUCCCCAUAAUAUAUAGAUAAGGCAUCUUAUUUAUAUUAAAGUUUCGGCGGUAUGAUAUGGGCAUGCGUCCAAUUAGCUAGUUGGUGAGGUAAAGGCUCACCAAGGCUACGAUUGGUAGGGGGUCUGAGAGGAUGAUCCCCCACACUGGUACUGAGACACGGACCAGACUCCUACGGGAGGCAGCAGUGAGGAAUAUUGCGCAAUGGAGGAAACUCUGACGCAGCCAUGCCGCGUGAAGGAUUGAAUGCCCUAUGGGUUGUAAACUUCUUUUGUACGGGAAUAAACCCUUGCUCGUGAGCGAGGUUGAAGGUACCGUAAGAAUAAGCACCGGCUAACUCCGUGCCAGCCGCCGCCGUAACAC